rnacentral:rRNA from 1 species
CCUACGGGUGGCUGCAGUGGGGAAUAUUGCACAAUGGGCGAAAGCCUGAUGCAGCGACGCCGCGUGAGCGAAGAAGUAUUUCGGUAUGUAAAGCUCUAUCAGCAGGGAAGAAAAUGACGGUACCUGACUAAGAAGCCCCGGCUAACUACGUGCCAGCAGCCGCGGUAAUACGUAGGGGGCAAGCGUUAUCCGGAUUUACUGGGUGUAAAGGGAGCGUAGGCGGCAAGGCAAGUCUGAUGUGAAAACCCGGGGCUCAACCCCGGGACUGCAUUGGAAACUGCUUAGCUAGAGUGUCGGAGAGGUAAGUGGAAUUCCUAGUGUAGCGGUGAAAUGCGUAGAUAUUAGGAGGAACACCAGUGGCGAAGGCGACUUACUGGACGAUAACUGACGCUGAGGCUCGAAAGCGUGGGGAGCAAACAGGAUUAGAUACCCCGGUAGUC